CACCAUGAAGACAAUUCUUAUCGUAGUACGAACGCGCGUGGGCAGGAUGGUGUAACCAUCCGGCAUAGCCACCCAUGCGCGACACACAGGCUCCCUCGGGGGCCUUUUUUAUUAUCCUCAA
rnacentral:sRNA from 1 species